AGUGAACGCUGGCGGUAGGCCUAACACAUGCAAGUCGAACGGCAGCACAGUAAGAGCUUGCUCUUACGGGUGGCGAGUGGCGGACGGGUGAGGAAGACAUCGGAAUCUACUUUUUCGUGGGGGCUAACGUAGGGAAACUUACGCUAAUACCGCAUACGACCUACGGGUGAAAGCAGGGGAUCUUCGGACCUUGCGCGAUUGAAUGAGCCGAUGUCGGAUUAGCUAGUUGGCGGGGUAAAGGCCCACCAAGGCGACGAUCCGUAGCUGGCCUGAGAGGAUGAUCAGCCACACUGGAACUGAGACACGGUCCAGACUCCUACGGGAGGCAGCAGUGGGGAAUAUUGGACAAUGGGCGCAAGCCUGAUCCAGCCAUACCGCGUGGGUGAAGAAGGCCUUCGGGUUGUAAAGCCCUUUUGUUGGGAAAGAAAAGCAGCAGGUUAAUACCCCGCUGUUCUGACGGUACCCAAAGAAUAAGCACCGGCUAACUUCGUG
rnacentral:rRNA from 1 species